ACUUGUGGUGGUUUCUUUCUGGCACAUUUGUUAAGUUUCAAAUGGGCCUGACUCUGCCACAUACAUUAUAUAGGAGCUAGCAAAGGCUUGAAAACAGAAUUCUCUCUUGAGCUACAUCAGAGAUGGGCUCCCACAUGU